rnacentral:rRNA from 1 species
AUUGAACGCUGGCGGCAUGCCUUACACAUGCAAGUCGAACGGCAGCACGGGUGCUUGCACCUGGUGGCGAGUGGUGAACGGGUGAGUAAUACAUCGGAACAUGUCCUGUAGUGGGGGAUAGCCCGGCGAAAGCCGGAUUAAUACCGCAUACGAUCUACGGAUGAAAGCGGGGGACCUUCGGGCCUCGCGCUAUAGGGUUGGCCGAUGGCUGAUUAGCUAGUUGGUGGGGUAAAGGCCUACCAAGGCGACGAUCAGUAGCUGGUCUGAGAGGACGACCAGCCACACUGGGACUGAGACACGGCCCAGACUCCUACGGGAGGCAGCAGUGGGGAAUUUUGGACAAUGGGCGAAAGCCUGAUCCAGCAAUGCCGCGUGUGUGAAGAAGGCCUUCGGGUUGUAAAGCACUUUUGUCCGGAAAGAAAUCCUUGGCCCUAAUACGGUCGGGGGAUGACGGUACCGGGAGAAUAAGCACCGGCUAACUACGUG